AUUGAACGCUGGCGGCAUGCCUUACACAUGCAAGUCGAACGGUAACAGGUCUUCGGAUGCUGACGAGUGGCGAACGGGUGAGUAAUACAUCGGAACGUGCCCGAGAGUGGGGGAUAACGAGGCGAAAGCUUUGCUAAUACCGCAUACGAUCUCAGGAUGAAAGCAGGGGACCGCAAGGCCUUGCGCUCACGGAGCGGCCGAGGGCAGAUUAGGUAGUUGGUGGGAUAAAAGCUUACCAAGCCGACGAUCUGUAGCUGGUCUGAGAGGACGACCAGCCACACUGGGACUGAGACACGGCCCAGACUCCUACGGGAGGCAGCAGUGGGGAAUUUUGGACAAUGGGCGCAAGCCUGAUCCAGCCAUGCCGCGUGCAGGAUGAAGGCCUUCGGGUUGUAAACUGCUUUUGUACGGAACGAAAAGGGCGACUUUAAUACAGUUGCCUCAUGACGGUACCUGAAGAAUAAGCACCGGCUAACUACGUGCCAGCCGCCGCAGUAACAC
rnacentral:rRNA from 1 species